UGUCGGUCCCCCCGCGACGGCGCGCUGUGAACCCCGUCAGGCCCGGAAGGGAGCAGCGGCAGCAGCGAUGUCCGGGCGCCGGGGUGCGGCUGAUAUGG
rnacentral:SRP_RNA from 1 species